rnacentral:lncRNA from 1 species
ACAUGCAUUAACACCAAAGGUUUAUUGCCCGGCCUCAAAUAGUUGUGACUUCUACAUAAGUUCAAUUACGAUUGCUUAACAUAACGCUAAAUUUGUGACACAAAAGGCAUAAGUAUUCUAGUUAGUGAGAUUAUAAGUCUCUCCUCUUCCAUGGUAUUAUGUGUAAACUUGGCCUUAUUUCCUUCCUUUGGAAGACGUUUUGGUUCAAGGAUCCAUGCUUGUGGCAAUUGGGUUGAGUGUUUUCCAAAUAAUAUCUUGACACUAAAAAUAAAAAAAAAAACUAACUAUUAACUUACUAACAUUAACUUUUACUUUCAAGCUUUUACUUUUAAUGCAAUUUACUUUUAUUGUUCUAUUAUCAUUUGUCAUUGUACAUAUCAUUUUAAUUAUUUAUGUUUAUGCAAUUUUCACUUUUUCCACUUGGACCAUAUUUUGUGAUAUACUUUG